rfam:Firmicutes bacterium CAG:272 genomic scaffold, scf321
GGGGACGUAAAGGUUUCGACGGGGACUCUGAAGCAGGGUAAGCGGGCAGAGCCGGGACAAUCUCUUUAAACUGUUCCAACCUAAAUUUAAACGCUAACACUGAAUUAGCUGCUGCCUGAACGGCAGUGACGCGGACUUAAGCUCCGCCCGUUCAUCCGGAGAGUACUGCGGCUCCGGAAUGAGCGUCAUCAAGCAGUGAACGUGCGCGGUCAGUUCGUCCUUAUAGCCGCCACGGAUGAAAGGGCUGCUCCGGAAAAGCUUCGCCGGCUUGGCGACUCCGGGGGAGAUCAGUAAGCCGGAUACGCCCGAAGAAAGCCCCGCGGAUCGGUUUUCGGACGCGGGUUCGAUUCCCGCCGUCUCCACCA